AAUGUACAAAACAAAACAAAAAAAAAAAAAAAAAAAAAAAAAAAAAAAAAAAAAGAGGACAAAA
rnacentral:lncRNA from 1 species